GGAUCUUAAACUAUGCAAGGUAGUUCAUUCCUUUAAAUAGGGAGGUGAUGCUGUGGGCAUUUCACUUCCAUAAGAAGAGGCUCCAACUAGUGUCAAAUUUUCAAGUGCUCGAGAUUUCAAGCUGAAGAGGACGACAAGAUGGACGCUUCAAAAUCUAAAGAUACGAAGAUGGCUGGAGGGAAAGCUCAUAAAAAGAACACAUCGGAGGCUUCAAAAUCUGUACAUGUGGGCAAUGAUCAGAAGCUGAAGGGAGUUCAUCCAAAUCAUGGAAAAAGUGGAUUAACAGAUAUGAGAAUGCAAGCUGAAAAACAAAAAAAUGAUGCGACACAUAAACAGCCCAAUCAUAAUUCGAACAAGAUACAUGCUGCACUUGCAAACAAUGAUGCAAAACAUAAAGGCGCUUUUCAUUAUGUUAUAGGUUAGAAUCGUGAAGAUGGUUGAUCAUUGAUGCUACAAUAGCUUUCCAACCUCGGUGAUUUGCUUUCUAUUUUGUCGUUUUGGUUUGGCAGCGUUUUAUUGUGCGGGUUUUCAUAUUCUUUUGCGUUGGUUUCGUUUGAUGUUGGAAGUUGGAUUACUGAGAUUACGGUUUAUUUUCCGGCCUUAGUGAUUUCUCUGUGGUUGUUUGAAUUUGCUGGGAAUUGUUAUUCUGAGGGUUUUGUGGCACGAGUUGUAGGAGAGUUUUGGGUAUCUCUCUCCACCUUUGGUUUAUGUAAGAUCCCAAAUAAAAUAAAGAGUUUUACUUAUUUAAUUUCUGUAA